GGGCGCCAAACUAACCAGAUUGUGUCAAUGACUGUUUCUCUCAGCCACUCAACUGGAAAUCUUCUCUCUCUUUGCUGCCGCUACAUUUUCUGUUCCCAUCUUCAAGUAGAGAGAAGAGAGAAUUUCACCAGUCUGCCUUACAAUGCUGAUUCAAGCUCAGAGCUUUAGUCCCAACAUUGCUCGUAAUCGACGUUGUUGCGCGAAACCUAUGCUCUCGCGUUGUGGUUCUUCCUCGCUGCUUCGCAAAUGCCCCUUCAAUGCUUCAAGAUUGGAUCGACAUAUGAGUAUUCGUUUCCGGAGGAGAAAGAAUUGGAGAGUUCUCUUUUCAGCGUCUGACGGCCUGAACUCUGGCAGUGCAAUGAAAAGGAAAAGACAAGUUGUGGAACACAUAUGUCUGCUCAAAGCGAAGGAUGAAUUAUCUGACAAGGAAGAGAAUGAUAUGCUGGAUUAUCUUUAUACAACCCAAUAUCAGAUGCGUGGAAUCAUUGCAAUGUCAUUGGGACGUCUCUCUGAUCAAAAUGUUGAAAAUUAUACACACGCUGUCUACAUGCGUUUCCAAAUUAAGGAAGACCUUUUGAAGUUCUAUGAGAAUCCUUUCUACUUGCGAGUUAUCAAGGAGCAUGUAAUGCCUUGCAUCCAUGGAUUGGUUAAUGUGGAUUUUGAAUCUGAAGUAGAAGAUGACAUCCUUCCUAUAUUUCGAAAAGGCGAGGAGUUCAACUAUGGCGUGGAAUUCAUGCUUCUGAUUGAAUUUACUGAGAGCACACUUGGUGAAUCUGUAGAAGAUGCCUUGACUUCUCUGGAAAAUUUGACACUGGAAUUUCCAUCCCUAGUUGUCCAAUCCACACAAGGAUUAAAUUUUAAUGCCAGUAAUAAGGAAUAUACUCAUGGGGUUGUGAUUCGAUUUCGAUCAUUUGAGGCGUUUGAGAUAUUUGUGGGUGGUUCAGAAUACAAAGAUAUGUGGAGGUCAAAGUUCCAGCCAUUCACCAAGAAAACACUUUCUGUUCAUUUUUAUGUUGAUCCAGUUGGCACAGAGAUCAUGUAGCAGGGGUUCAUCAUUCUUGUGGUUUGUUUUCCUUCUCAUUAAGCCGAGGAAUAUGCUUAGAAGCAAUCGCUUGUCCAAGUUGAACUAGGAAUGGAAAAAGAAAAUUGGUUGCAUCUGUUUUUGCCUUGGGCACGGGUUCUUGCUGAUAUAAAGGAGAAUGUUUAACUCGUUUCAUUGGUUGUGGCCUCUCGACAACCAUUGUUUUCUUUAGCAUGCCCGAUAAAGAGGAGGAGGAUUGGGUGUUGACCCUUCUUGAAGAUGACAGUUAAAAAGUAGUUAAGUUUUGUUGCUACUGUUUUUCAGAUUAGUGAAAAGGAUUUUGAAAACUUGCUGUGAGUUGUGAAUUAAUGGUUUUAUAUAGCAUCUUGUGUUAUUACGUAA